rnacentral:sRNA from 1 species
ACAGUGAGACCAACUGAGCAUGGACUGAAACCUCCGAACCAUGAGCCCAAACAAAGCUUUGGUCUUUUUAGUUGUCAAAAGCUCUUUGUUAUAGCAAUGGAAACAGACUAAGGCAAAUAUGGUCCUGCCUCUUUAUAGAAGCCUUUCUCUUGUCAGCCUGUUGGAUGGUACCUUAGCUGGAUUCCUGCUCACCUUCAUGGACUUUCUUGCAUUUUCUGUUUUAUAUCUAUUUUGACUCCCCAACAAAGGUCCAAAUGUAUUUGGUUCAGGGACAUGGCUAUGUGUACUUUUGGCUAAGCCCUAGGUACCCAGUGACUUCCAGUUGAAGCAAACUGGGGAGGUGGUGUUGGAAUGGGCAAGGCUCUCUCUUUUCUAGUUGGGUUGGCACAGGAAAGUCCCUGUUUUCAGGUUAGCUAGGUCAAUGGAGGAUAUUUUAGGAAAGUUUUGAAAGUUUCCUACAAUCCACCUGCCUUCUUAAACAGAAUCUAUCAUAUCAUAUCAUAUCGUAUCAUAUAUCAUACCAUAUCAUAUCAUGCUGUAUCUUACUGUAUCACACCAUAUCAUAUAUUGUAUAGGAUUUACCGUAUACUGUAUAUCAUAUAUCAUAUAUCAUACCAUACCAUAUAGAACCAUAUUGUUUUGUAUUGUAUUAUAGUGUAUCAUAUUAUACCAUAUCAUAUACCAUUCUGAGUAAUGGCUGAUGAGAUGAAAGGAGAAAGUGAACAGGAGGGACUGAAGGGUGGGUAAUGUUUUAAGAGUUUAUAUUUGUGUCCGGACUGGCUAUUAUGGUGGAACAACAAAAAUUCCCUUCUGAGACUCUUGCUGCAGCCUACAUAUUGAUGUAGCCAAGUGAAUGUCCCUCAUUGCAACCUGACCUCCUUCUUACUAUGGAAUGAUCUCAUUUCAAGGCUAACCACAAGAGGCUUGACUGGGCACUGGGCAUGCCGUAUGCCUGGCAUUUGCAAAUCUUCAUGCAAAGUGCAAGAGUUUUUUAAGACAGUAAAUAAUCCUGUGUAGAGGAGUCUGGGAAAGGUCUGCUCUAAGCCAUGAGGUGAACAGAGACGCAAUCACUCUGCCUACCCUUACAACUGUUAUCUGCUGCUCUUCUCUAAAGCAAAGGCUUAAGUCGCUUUUAAUUUUAGAUCAGGAGGAAUCUGAUUAGGGGCCAAGGUCUUUUAUCACUGUCCUUCAAAAUGUAUUAAGUUGUGGUGUUUUUCCAUCUCUGGUCUGCAUAGCUUUGGCUUCUUCAAUGCCCAGAGCUGAAGAUCCACCAAGAAUUCCACCUACAGCCGGGGUACGCAGAAAGACCACACUUACUGAAGAGUACCCUGUACACAACAGUCACAGAAGGGAAGACAGCAUCUCUCUUCGGACCUCUGACGACAAAGAAUGGGAUGUGGAAGGAAGAGUAGCUGGGGAUGGCAAGGCCUUAACUCGAUGGCAAUACUGGACCCUUGGGAUUCCAGGCUCUGAAGAAGAACCUAAAAAUGUGACAAAAUAUUGAUGUUUUCUCAUUCCCUUCAGACACAGUCUUUCUUGAGAACAUCUGACAAGGUUGCUGGUGAACAAGCAUUCCCAGUGAGCAGCCUGCUGGCCUGGCACAGUGCCCGGAAGGGCAACGGUAGCAGCAAGAGUCACUGAGGGUACAGCUUUCAUUUACAGAUACAGCUCUUGGUUCCUUCACAGACGUAUCUGGCAUUGUGCAUCUCCUUGGAGGGACACACAGCCUCUGGAGAGGGAGAGAUGCCUGAGUCAUCCCAAGUAAAUUUUAUGAACCUGUCUGUGUAGGUGGCAGAUUUGCCUGGCUGAAGUUGGUCCGGGUAGAAGGAGUUGCUUCUCAAAACAUCCAGCUACGUUUUGAGAUUAAGUCAAUGUACCUAGGUCUUUGUAAUUUAAUUCAAUUCAAAAGUAAUUUAAGAUUCAGACCGGAGGAUACCUCCACCACAGUCUUGGUACAGGCCUCUCUUCCUCAGGAGGACACCGUUGGGAGAGAGACAAGAUACUGGUUUCUCCGUCCUGAUGCUCAUUUGAACUGACAUGUCAUCCCAUAUAUGACCCUGCCUUUUUCCCCUCAUCAAACUUCAUUAGACUCAACAGAGAGGAUUGGAAAGGGCACUGGGACAAAAAGAGAAAAAAAAGG